rnacentral:rRNA from 1 species
UAAGUAGGUAGUGAAAGCGUGUGGCUCAACCAUAUACACAUUACCUAAACUGCUCAGCUAGAGGACGAGAGAGGUCGCUGGAAUUCCUAGUGUAGGAGUGAAAUCCGUAGAUAUUAGGAGGAACACCGAUGGCGUAGGCAGGCGACUGGCUCGUUCCUGACACUAAGGCACGAAAGCGUGGGAGCAAACGGGAUUAGAUACCCCGGUAGUCCACGCUGUAAACGAUGGAUGCUA